UACAGAGGUGGCAAGCGUUGUUCGGAAUUACUGGGCGUAAAGGGUGCGUAGGCGGGCAGGUAAGUCAGUGGUGAAAUCCCCGAGCUUAACUUGGAAACUGCCAUUGAUACUAUCAGUCUUGAAUACCGUGGAGGUCAGCGGAAUAUGUCAUGUAGCGGUGAAAUGCUUAGAUAUGACAUAGAACACCAAUUGCGAAGGCAGCUGGCUACACGAAUAUUGACACUGAUGCACGAAAGCGUGGGGAUCAAACAGG
rnacentral:rRNA from 1 species